rnacentral:rRNA from 1 species
UACGGAGGGUGCAAGCGUUAAUCGGAAUUACUGGGCGUAAAGCGUGCGCAGGCGGUUUCUUAAGUCAGAUGUGAAAGCCCCGGGCUUAACCUGGGAAUGGCAUUUGGGACUGCAAGGCUUGAGUGCGGCAGAGGAGACUGGAAUUCCUGGUGUAGCAGUGAAAUGCGUAGAUAUCAGGAAGAACACCCGUGGCGAAGGCGGUUCUCUGGGACGGUACUGACGCUGAGACGCGAAAGCGUGGGGAGCGAACAGG